GGGUGAUUAGCUCAGCUGGGAGAGCAUCGCCCUUACAAGGCGAGGGUCACUGGUUCGAACCCAGUAUCACCCACCA
rnacentral:tRNA from 17 species